UAUUGAAUUUGUUGAAUACCUGGCAUACAAAAAAGCUGUUGAACAUCAGAGUCUCAAAUACCUUCUCCCUAAGCCCAAGAAUUGUAGGCCCUUUAGACUGCAUGGUUACCAACAGAGACACCUGGUAAGCUGUUUGCAUGAAAAUAUUCACCCACAUGGCCUUGGUAAAGAGUUGUCCAUCUUGUCCUGGUGUGAAUUUCUUCAUGAGCAUCUCAUGGGGGGCUCCAUCAAAAGAGCCAAACCACCUAGAGGAGUCAAAACUGAGAUUGUCCAUUGGAACUGAAUCGUCGUUAUAGGUGAACUUCCAUGAGAGGCAUUUGUGAUUAAGAGUAUCAAUGACCCAGCUAAGGUCAUAGUUAGCUGAAACUGGAUGUACUUUCGCAUGUUAGUGUAUAUGCAUAUUCCAAACUUAAUUAUGGCUCAAAUGGAUGUGAAAUUGCCUUCCGUGAUGACAAUGUUAGUGCUCCUUCUUGCAAUGUCAGUGCUCCUAGUAGCAAAUGUGAGUCCCACAUCAGCAGCUUUUAGCAUGGGAAUGUCAUUUGUUCUAUUUCCGACCACUGCAACUUUGUGUCCUUGAAUUUUCAGGCUACCGAGUACAAGGAGCCGAUCUUUCGGGAGGGAGUUCCCCAUCACAGAAAAUCUAGUUGCCAUAUCCAUUUUCUUAUCAUCAGAGCUACUCCGAAAUUCUUCACCUGCUAUAACCAGUGCAUCUGAAUCAGGCUGUAUCACUCCAAACGCUGUAGCAAUGUUCUUAAGCAUUGAAACCUCCUCGCUCGAUACUAGUAAUACUUUAAUCCGGCUUCUCUGCAUUCUUCUAUCACCUCUCUCGUAUCUUCCCAGCCAGUCCUCUUCAGCCCCAACAGUCCCAGCAUUGUUAGAUUGCCUUCAUCAGACCUAGAGUCAUCAACUUGCAUACAAGCGAAUGCGAUGAAUUCAAAACCUUUUGACAGCAUUUGCUUAAUUCGACCUUCAAAAUUUAUCUUUUCACUUCUAUCCAUGGGCCUUGUUUUGCCUUCAAUGUCAUAAAAUCGUGAACACGUGUCUAAUAUUAUUGUUGCAGGUCCUCUGAAGUGCAAGGACCUCGGCCCGUUACCUCCACUCUUUGCAAUCAAUGCUGCGACUAUGUUCUCAUUGUGGGUUGGCUGUUUGAACUUAAUGAUACUGUGACGUUGCUUCCAGAUAUCCAGUUUGAAUCCAUUGCAUGGCUCCAAAGAAGUUUCCGCUUGACUUGCAUGAGAAAAUGAUAAGGAGGCGUGUCAGCUGAGAGAGUGGAUAGGAGGAGAAAUGACAGGAAUCGUUGAAGGGUCAUCAUCCGCUUGAUAGAAUUAGCAUAAUGCAGCCUACAUGGCCUUGAAUUGUUGUGGGGUGUAUCUGAUUUUUUUUGGCUAUGGGCUCUUUCCCUUCCUUUUUAAUGGAGAGUUUGAUGAUUUUUGCUGCAAAGGUUACAUUCCUGAAUUAACUUACUGAGGUAUUGUCCGUCGUGGCCUGUCCCAUACCGUGUCUCAUAAUUUUGUCCUUUCAUGUACAAGUGAGCACCUUCCCAAGAGGCUACCCAUCCUAAGAGUGCUCCCACCUGAACACAUAUAAAGUUAAGCAUUGUCGUUACUUCAAAAGACACAUCUAUGAGUUAAUUCCA
rnacentral:lncRNA from 1 species